rnacentral:rRNA from 1 species
GACGAAGGAUGCAAGCGUUAUCCGGAUUCAUUGGGUUUAAAGGGAGCGUAGGCGGUCCCAUAAGUCAGUGCUGAAAUAUCCCGGCUUAACCGGGAGGGUGGCAUUGAUACUGCAGGACUUGAGUAAAGUUGAGGUUGGCGGAAUUGACGGUGUAGCGGUGAAAUGCUUAGAUAUCGUCAAGAACACCGAUAGUGAAGACAGCUAACUAAGCUUUAACUGACGCUGAGGCACGAAAGUGUGGGGAUCAAACAGG